rnacentral:lncRNA from 1 species
CUGGAGGAGCUUGGCCAAGAAAGAGACCAUCUGUUUCUGCCGAUCUUCCGCUGAUUCUAGCCUCUGAUUCAGCGUGCUCAUUUGUUCAAUUGUCUGAAGGUGCUCUUGCUUCAGCCUGGUCACCUCCUGAAGCAAUGCACUCUUCUCCCUUCUCAGUGUGUUGAGUUCAGGGUCUAAACCGGAUUCACCAGAAGAGCCAGGCUGAAGACCACUUUGUUGUGUUGGUGAGGAC